GGGCGGAGCCAGAGGGGUGGCUUGGGGUGGCCCAAGCCACCCCUGAGAUUCGAUUGGCCACCCCAGGUGCCACCCCAAAAUCCUACUCUACGAUUGGCCAUUAACGUGGUCAAAGGCGGAACCUUUGUUGACGCACUUUGCUGCCUUUAAAUCAGCGCGGGAGCUUGGACAGUCAGACACCAGAACUCAGAAAUAUUUAGACAAGGGUGCUGGAGACACUUCAGAUCCUUAUAAGGGUCCCUCAUCAUCAUCUUGUCUCACUGGUUGUCCACGUGCAGCUACAAACCCAACCCCUGG